GUCGUUAUUAUACGGGGAAAAAGAACUUGACAACGACAACGGUGGUGCUCUAAACAAUGGGUUAUAGUUUCGUGCAGAAGUCUAUACCGCGAUGCCAAACAUGAUGUGAAAAUGGCACAGGACGACAAAAGAUUAUGACAUUAAUAACGGACGAUGUGAUGGGCGGCCCGUGGUUAUUUGGCCAGGGGAAAUGGACACUUUUUCCGUAAUGGACGUCAAGUGGACUCUGUGGCGAGACACUUCAAUAAGAAAUAGCACUCGCGAUUAAAGUGAACCUUCUUUGAGGU